rnacentral:rRNA from 1 species
GACGAACGCUGGCGGCGUGCUUAACACAUGCAAGUCGAACGGUGAAGGGACCGGUUUUUGCUGGUUCUGGAUGAGUGGCGAACGGGUGAGUAACACGUGAGUAACCUGCCCCCUUCUUCUGGAUAACCGCAUGAAAGUGUGGCUAAUACGGGAUAUUCUGCGCCUGCUGCAUGGUGGGUGUGGGAAAGAUAUUGUUUCGGUGGGGGAUGGGCUCGCGGCCUAUCAGCUUGUUGGUGGGGUGAUGGCCUACCAAGGCGGUGACGGGUAGCCGGCCUGCGAGGGUGGACGGUCACACUGGGACUGAGACACGGCCCAGACUCCUACGGGAGGCAGCAGUGGGGAAUAUUGCACAAUGGGCGCAAGCCUGAUGCAGCGACGCCGCGUGAGGGAUGGAGGCCUUCGGGUUGUAAACCUCUUUCGCCAGUGAAGCAGGCCUGUCCCUUUUGUGGGUGGGUUGACGGUAGCUGGAUAAGAAGCGCCGGCUAACUACGUG